rnacentral:rRNA from 1 species
AUGGGGAAUACAUGCAUAGGAGUGCAGAGAGAGCAUGCCCUAGAUUUGAUAGACACAAACAUCAAGUUGCAGCAAAUUAAGAAGCAGAAUGAGGACAUUUUACUUCUGAACUUGUUAGUCAGGGCCACAACAUUUGUCAGUACUGCAUCUCAUGUUAGUGAGGAAAAAUUAGCCACAGUUCUAUAUGAAGAACCUGUUGUGUAUGAUCUGAGAGAUCCUCCUGUGCUUGCUGUUAAUGAUCAUGGUAUUAUUUAUGAGAGUCAAAGCAGUAACAGUAGUGCACUAGUACAACCUGCUGGUAUGUGCACACGAGAGCAGAAAUGUCAGCAAGAGGAAGCUCAAAUCUGUGAUGGAAGAAGAGGAAGAGGAGGGAUAUAA